CAGUCCAGGUGGUCGCCUUCGCCACUGGUGUUCCUUCCUAUAUCUACGCAUUUCACCGCUACACAGGAAAUUCCACCACCCUCUACCGUACUCUAGCUUGCCAGUUUUGGAUGCAGUUCCCAGGUUGAGCCCGGGGCUUUCACAUCCAACUUAACAAACCACCUACGCGCGCUUUACGCCCAGUAAUUCCGAUUAACGCUUGCACCCUCUGUAUUACCGCGGCUGCUGGCACAGAGUUAGCCGGUGCUUAUUCUGUCGGUAACGUCAAAACAGCAAGGUAUUAACUUACUGCCCUUCCUCCCAACUUAAAGUGCUUUACAAUCCGAAGACCUUCUUCACACACGCGGCAUGGCUGGAUCAGGCUUUCGCCCAUUGUCCAAUAUUCCCCACUGCUGCCUCCCGUAGGAGUCUGGACCGUGUCUCAGUUCCAGUGUGACUGAUCAUCCUCUCAGACCAGUUACGGAUCGUCGCCUUGGUGAGCCAUUACCCCACCAACUAGCUAAUCCGACCUAGGCUCAUCUGAUAGCGCAAGGCCCGAAGGUCCCCUGCUUUCUCCCGUAGGACGUAUGCGGUAUUAGCGUUCCUUUCGAAACGUUGUCCCCCACUACCAGGCAGAUUCCUAGGCAUUACUCACCCGUCCGCCGCUGAAUCAAGGAGCAAGCUCCCGUCAUCCGCUCGACUUGCAUGUGUUAGGCCUGCCGCCAGCGUUCAAU
rnacentral:rRNA from 1 species